GACGAACCACCCAAACGUUAUUCGGAAUUACUGGGCUUAAAGAGUGCGUAGGCGGUCUUGUAAGUCGGGUGUGAAAUCCCACAGCUCAACUGUGGAACUGCGCUCUAAACUACAAGACUAGAGGGAUAUAGAGGUGAGCAGAACUGAUGGUGGAGCGGUGAAAUGCGUUGAUAUCAUCAGGAAUACCGGAGGCGAAGGCGGCUCACUGGGUAUCUUCUGACGCUGAGGUACGAAAGCGUGGGGAGCAAACAGG
rnacentral:rRNA from 1 species